GGCCGCGUAGUGUAGUGGUUAGCACGCAGGAUUUUGACUAAUGAAAAAUUCCUGAGACCUGAGUUCAAUCCUCGGCGGGGCCU
rnacentral:tRNA from 1 species